rnacentral:rRNA from 1 species
AGAGUUUGAUCCUGGCUCAGGACGAACGCUGGCGGCGUGCUUAACACAUGCAAGUCGAACGAAGAGCGACGGAAGCUUGCUUCUAUCAAUCUUAGUGGCGAACGGGUGAGUAACGCGUAAUCAACCUGCCCUUCAGAGGGGGACAACAGUUGGAAACGACUGCUAAUACCGCAUACGAUCUAAUCUCGGCAUCGAGGAUGGAUGAAAGGUGGCCUCUACAUGUAAGCUAUCACUGAAGGAGGGGAUUGCGUCUGAUUAGCUAGUUGGAGGGGUAACGGCCCACCAAGGCGAUGAUCAGUAGCCGGUCUGAGAGGAUGAACGGCCACAUUGGGACUGAGACACGGCCCAGACUCCUACGGGAGGCAGCAGUGGGGAAUCUUCCGCAAUGGACGAAAGUCUGACGGAGCAACGCCGCGUGAGUGAUGACGGCCUUCGGGUUGUAAAGCUCUGUUAAUCGGGACGAAAGGCCUUCUUGCGAAUAGUGAGAAGGAUUGACGGUACCGAAUAGAAGCC